GAUGAACGCUGGCGGCGUGCUUAACACAUGCAAGUCGAACGAAGCACUUAAGAUUGAUUCUUCGGAUGACGUCUUUUGUGACUUAGUGGCGGACGGGUGGGUAACGCGUGGGUAACCUGCCUCACACAGGGGGAUAACAGUUAGAAAUGACUGCUAAUACCGCAUAACCCGAUAGGAUCGCAUGAUCCAGACGGAAAAGAUUUAUCGGUGUGAGAUGGACCCGCGUCUGAUUAGCUAGUUGGUGAGGUAACGGCCCACCAAGGCGACGAUCAGUAGCCGGCCUGAGAGGGUGAACGGCCACAUUGGGACUGAGACACGGCCCAAACUCCUACGGGAGGCAGCAGUGGGGAAUAUUGCACAAUGGGGGAAACCCUGAUGCAGCGACGCCGCGUGAGUGAAGAAGUAUUUCGGUAUGUAAAGCUCUAUCAGCAGGGAAGAAAAUGACGGUACCUGACUAAGAAGCCCCGGCUAACUACGUG
rnacentral:rRNA from 1 species